rnacentral:lncRNA from 1 species
GAAAUUUCUCACGAAAUUACGUACUUCCGUUCAACCUUUCCCUAAUGACGCUUUCUGAGGAAAGUUACAAUUUCUACUCGUCCACUUGGUCCUGAGUCGCGGAAGAGGCAGCAGCGCCGAUCCAGUAGUCAAGCCCCCCGGUGUGUUUAGUGACGUGUCCAACCUUAGCUUAGCUAGUAGUUUGUGCGGUCCGAUUCUGUGUGCGAAGAGGAAUUAAAAGCCGACGACGGCGUUCUGUUCUAGAGUCGGAACCAACCGCCUCCUACCAGCUCGUGCUCGCCACACCGCCACCAAAAGCCUUAGCCGCCCUGCUGACCCCGCGGUCUCAGCGAUCGAGCCCCGGAAGGCCCACUGGGAUCCGGAAGGGAGACCACACGCUACACGUGGCUCCAGGGAGAGCCAUCCAUUGCGCCAGCCGUUCCUGUCCAGCCGCUGGUCCAGAUUCGCCGCAGAAGUUCACCAGACCGUAGACGUCGGUCCUCGUGGUCACGCGCCGUCCAGGUUCCAGAAGGAGGCGACCCGUCCACCAGGCCGGCCAGCCGGCCAAGCCCGAUUUCAACCAGGCCGCCCCCUUAAGAUCGCGCGCCUUUCAUCUGCUC